GCAGAACCUUUUAAACAGAGCAAAGAUGUGGGCAGAGGGCAGGCUAGCUGUAUUAUCGUUUCUCAUCUGGGCACCUUAAGGGGAUAAAACUUAAAUCUUGUAAUGCUAGAGGGUCCUUGAAAGGCCCUGAGCUCAUGUUAAGCAAAUACGACUUUUUCAUACCUGGAGUUUUUCAGAUGUCCAUCACCAUUACAACAGUGCUCUUGAUUGGCAGUUAAAGUCCAAGCCUUGGAAGAAUUAACACAGUAUCUAAAUGGUCAGGCAGGGCCCAAAGCUUGUUAACAGAUGAGGAGGCCUCGUCCUCCAGAGAGAAGUUAAGGGCUGCAGAGACAGCGCUCCCUGCUGGGAGCCUGCAGAGAGACAUGGUGAGCAGCUGGCACUGGCCGGCUUUCUGCCAGGUGUGUGGCAGCAUUGGCGGCUGUGGCUGCGACUGCUUGGGCUCCUGAGGAGUCUGCCCAGGCCCUGUGCAUGCCAGCUGCAUGCUCGCUCCCCACAGACUGCCUCUCCCAGCGCCUGCAUGUUUAAACACCUAAGAAAGCACGUCCUUAUUUGAGUAAAGCAUAUUGGUGGUAAUUUUCCUAUUGUAAGUCUCAGCUAUUGUCAUCAUUAUUUUUUUAAUAAAAAUUAUGAAAAGUACCUUGAAAUUUUAAUUUUUAUUUUGAGGAAACCUCUUUUUUGAGGAUAGAAACUACGUGAUGGGGGUGGGUUGCUGUUUGUCAGACACACAUGCUUACACAGGUAUAUGCAGCAAAGCUUCCGUGUGGUGGAUCUGUGUACAGUCUUCCUUGUGUACACACUCAAUAGAACAUGAUGUUUGUAGCUACAGUCAGACCUUGGAACAAGGCUCAGUCAUGCCAGGAUUAGCCCACACGAUUUCCACAUGUUUAGGUCUGAAGCAGUUCACACUAUGACCAUAAAGUACUUAGUCGUGGGAGUGGAGUUGUCUUUACUUUAAAAUCACACAAAUAUUUGCCAGUUUUAGGAAUGUUAAAGUCAUUACAUCAACUUCAAGUUGAAAAUCGAAGAUUAGAAGAACAGAUUAAAAACUUGACUGCCAAAAAAGAACGUCUUCAGUUGUUGAACGCACAGCUUUCAGUGCCUUUCCCAGCAAUAACGACAAACCCUAGUCCAUCUCAUCAGAUACACACAUACACAGCACAGACUGCUCCUACUACUGACUCUCUGAACAGCAGUAAGAGCCCGCAUAUAGGAAACAGCUUUGUACCCGACAAUUCUCUUCCUGUAUUAAAUCAGGACCUGACUUCCAGUGGGCAAAGCACCAGCAGCUCUUCUGCUCUUUCCACUCCCCCGCCUGCUGGGCAGAGUCCAGCCCAGCAGGGCUCUGGAGUUAGUGGGGUUCAGCAGGUGAACGGCGUGACAGUGGGGCCACUAGCUAGUGGAAUGCAGACUGUCACAUCCACCAUUCCUGCUGUGUCUGCAGUGGGUGGAAUAAUUGGAGCUUUGCCAGGUAACCAGCUGGCAAUCAAUGGCAUUGUAGGAGCGUUAAAUGGUGUUAUUCAGACGCCGGUCACAAUAUCCCAGAACCCUGCCCCGCUCACCCACACCAGUGUGCCACCUAAUGCA
rnacentral:lncRNA from 1 species